rnacentral:rRNA from 1 species
AGGACGAACGCUGGCGGCGUGGAUUAGGCAUGCAAGUUGAGCGACAGACAAGGGCUUGCCUUUGUUAUGGAGCAGCGAACGGGUGAGUAACACGUGAACAACCUGUCCCCACAUUCCGGAUAAUUGGAAGAAAUUCCUUGUAAUACGGGCGAGGAUCAGUGCAAGGCAUCUUAUGCUGAGGGAACAUGCAAAUGGUGCGGGGAGGGGUUCGCGGCCUAUCAGGUAGUUGGUGUGGUAACGGCACACCAAGCCGACGACGGGUAGC